UAUCCAGUUCAACUACUUAUCUGCUGUGUGCCGAUGAGAUGCAACCUUACUUAUUUCUGACUUACCAUAUCUGAAAUGAAGUCUAAAUAAAAAUAGAACAGUUGUGAUUAGGAAUGUUCCCAGGAGACUGGACAACCAGAGCUGGCACUAAAGAAUUCUGCAUUGUUAUUGGCUGUACUUGCGUGUUCAAGGGUGACAAAAGUGUAAACCUAUCUUGUUCAAGACUGACCUUGUCCACUACAGAAAUACCAUUUACAGAAAGGUCUCUUGCCUAGAAGUUUACCUGGGAUGAAAGUGAAGCAAAAGAAUUUAUCAUGGAUAAGGUGGGUCUAACAGUUGUGUAACAUGACAAGGAAAACAGAACCUUGUUUCGCGGAUCUUUUGGUCUGAGGCACUUAACUCCAGUUGCAGUACAAUAGUACAGCAUUUGAUAGGUGUAGGU